UACGUAGGGGGGCAAGCGUUGUCCGGAUUUACUGGGCGUAAAGAGCGUGUAGGCGGCCAAGCAGGUCCGUUGUGAAAACUGGAGGCUUAACCUCCAGACCGUCGACGGAAACCGCGUGGCUAGAGUCCGGAAGAGGAGAGUGGAAUUCCUGGUGUAGCGGUGAAAAUGCGCAGAUAUCAGGAAGAACACCAAUGGCGAAGGCAGCUCUCUGGGGACGGUACUGACGCUGAGGCACGAAGGUCAGGGGGAGCAAAACGGG
rnacentral:rRNA from 1 species